rnacentral:tmRNA from 1 species
GCUCUUUCAAUCGCCGCGGCAAUCCCUUAUAUUCGUAUUGCCGGAAUGGAGCGAUCCGUUGCGGCUAUGGCGAUAAACGGCCAUCGUAAUAAACCAUUCGGACCCGGGGGCGGUACCCGGCGCCUCCACCAAAGCCCGUCGGCGGGGCGGCUUACGGUCUUCGGCGGGGGCGAAAUAGGAUCGACGAGGGUGUAAAGGGUGGGCUUUCGCUCGGCAUGGUUCCGCCGUCAUCGGGCCAAAUCUAUAGUUGCCAACGACAACUAUGCUCCCGUGGCCGUCGCUGCGUAAUGCGGCGAAGGUCCGGAAAUCAAAGCCCUAGGGGGUUGCACCUCUAGGCGGGGUCUGGAGGCACCUGGCAACAGAAGCCUCCGCU